AGUGAACGCUGGCGGUAGGCCUAACACAUGCAAGUCGAACGGAGCGGCGGACGGGUGAGUAAUGCCUAGGAAUCUGCCUGGUAGUGGGGGAUAACGUCCGGAAACGGGCCCUAAUACCGCAUAAUAUCAGAUGAGACUAGGUCGGAUGAGCGAGUUGGUGGGGUAAAGGCCUCACAAGGCGACGAUCCGUAACUGGUCUGAGAGGAUGAUCAGUCACACUUGAACUGAGACACGGUCCAUAUUCCUACGAGGGGCAGCAGUGGGGAAUAUUGGAUAAUGGGCGAAAGCCUGAUCCAGCCAUGCCGCGUUUGUGAAGAAGGUCUUCGGAUUGUAAAGCACUUUAAGUUGGGAGGCGUUACCAACAGAAUAAGCACCGGCUAACUUCGUGCCAGCCGCCGCGGUAAUAC
rnacentral:rRNA from 1 species